rnacentral:tmRNA from 1 species
GGGGGCGAUCGGUAUCGACGAAAUAUGAGAUAUGUCGAAUUGCAUGCGGAGGAUGACAGUUCCCUCCUUAAUCACCUGUCAUACCUAUAAAUGCCGAUUACGGCUAUAUGGCUGCAGCUUAGUCUAGCAGCCCGUUCCAGAUCAGAUAAGUCUAUGGUCUAAUCUAGGAGCGUCAUUUACAUAGGCUAGUCUCAAAUUUGUCUGUGGAUUUGAGAUGAAAAUUAAGCAGACUGGUUUGUACUUAUUUUUGUCUCUAAUAUAAGUAUGAAUGAGAAAUCAAUUAGAUGACUAAGCAUGUAGAUGAUCUUCAUCACUCUAUUUCGGACGGGAGUUCGAUUCUCCCCGCCUCCACAA